rnacentral:rRNA from 1 species
AAUAGAUACCCAGGUAGUCCACGCCGUAAACGAUGAGUGCUAGGUGUUGGGGGGGGUCCACCCCUCGGUGCCGAAGUUAACACAUUAAGCACUCCGCCUGGGGAGUACGGUCGCAAGACUGAAACUCAAAGGAAUUGACGGGGACCCGCACAAGCAGUGGAGUAUGUGGUUUAAUUCGAAGCAACGCGAAGAACCUUACCAGGUCUUGACAUCCCUCUGGAUCCUCUAGAGAUAGAGGCGGCCUUCGGGACAGAGGAGACAGGUGGUGCAUGGUUGUCGUCAGCUCGUGUCGUGAGAUGUUGGGUUAAGUCCCGCAACGAGCGCAACCCUUGAAUUUAGUUGCCAGCACGUUAAGGUGGGCACUCUAGAUUGACUGCCGGUGACAAACCGGAGGAAGGCGGGGAUGACGUCAAAUCAUCAUGCCCCUUAUGACCUGGGCUACACACGUACUACAAUGGCCGGUACAACGGGCAGCGAAGGAGCGAUCCGGAGCCAAUCCUACCGAAAGCCGGUCUCAGUUCGGAUUGCAGG